AUUUAUAAUAUAUUUUAUUAAAUUAAUUGACAAUAUAUUUAUAGUAAAUUAUAAAGUAAAUUAAUUUGCAUACAAUGUCUUCAACUUCGAGUGAACAAUUGGAAACUGUACAGUUCAAAUUUGGUUCUCUUCAAGAGUUUAAUGAUUGGAAAGAGAAGGAAGAAUUGGCCACUUCAACACGCUAUGUACAACAUAAAGGGUCAAAAACGAAUAUGGAUAAAACAAUUAGGUACCACAAAGUAUUACUGCCAUAAGUCUGGAGUAUUCAAAUCCAAAGGAAAAGAAGAACGUGCAUUAAAGAUAACUGGAUCUUGUAAAAUUGAUCAAUGCUGCCCUUCUUUUAUAAGAACUAUUGCUGGACUGAUCAAUAUAGAUGUAACAUAUUGUAAAACUCACUUUGGUCACUAACACAAAAUUAGAUUUCUUGCCAUCCCGACUAUUGUUCAAGAAACAAUUGCUGAUAUAGGUAUAUAUUUAUAUUUGAAAUUUACUCUUACUAGGUGUAGUUUAAUAUGAUCUAAUAUUUAUGUAUUAAUUAAGUA